AUUGAACGCUGGCGGCAUGCCUUACACAUGCAAGUCGAACGGUAACAGGUCUUCGGAUGCUGACGAGUGGCGAACGGGUGAGUAAUACAUCGGAACGUGCCUAGUAGUGGGGGAUAACUACUCGAAAGAGUGGCUAAUACCGCAUGAGAUCUACGGAUGAAAGCAGGGGAUCGCAAGACCUUGUGCUACUAGAGCGGCCGAUGGCAGAUUAGGUAGUUGGUGGGAUAAAAGCUUACCAAGCCGACGAUCUGUAGCUGGUCUGAGAGGACGAUCAGCCACACUGGGACUGAGACACGGCCCAGACUCCUACGGGAGGCAGCAGUGGGGAAUUUUGGACAAUGGGCGCAAGCCUGAUCCAGCAAUGCCGCGUGCAGGAAGAAGGCCUUCGGGUUGUAAACUGCUUUUGUACGAGACGAAAAGACUCGCUCUAAUACAGUGGGUACAUGACGGUAUCGUAAGAAUAAGCACCGGCUAACUACGUGCCAGCAGCCGCGGUAA
rnacentral:rRNA from 1 species